rnacentral:rRNA from 1 species
GACGAACGCUGGCGGCGUGCUUAACACAUGCAAGUCGAACGGAAAGGCCCUGCUUGCAGGGUACUCGAGUGGCGAACGGGUGAGUAACACGUGGGUGAUCUGCCCUGCACUUCGGGAUAAGCCUGGGAAACUGGGUCUAAUACCGGAUAGGAGCCAUUUUUAGUGUGAUGGUUGGAAAGUUUUUUCGGUGUAGGAUGAGCUCGCGGCCUAUCAGCUUGUUGGUGGGGUAAUGGCCUACCAAGGCGGCGACGGGUAGCCGGCCUGAGAGGGUGGACGGCCACAGUGGGACUGGGAUACGGCCCAGACUCCUACGGGAGGCAGCAGUGGGGAAUAUUGCACAAUGGGCGCAAGCCUGAUGCAGCGACGCCGCGUGGGGGAUGACGGCCUUCGGGUUGUAAACGCCUUUCGCUAGGGACGAAGCUUUUUGUGACGGUACCUAGAGAAGAAGCACCGGCUAACUACGUG